UACGUAGGGUGCGAGCGUUGUCCGGAAUUAUUGGGCGUAAAGGGCUCGUAGGCGGUUUGUCGCGUCGGGAGUGAAAACUCAGGGCUUAACCCUGAGCCUGCUUCCGAUACGGGCAGACUAGAGGUAUGCAGGGGAGAACGGAAUUCCUGGUGUAGCGGUGAAGUGCGCAGAUAUCAGGAGGAACACCGGUGGCGAAGGCGGUUCUCUGGGCAUUACUUGACGCUGAGGAUCGAAAGUGUGGGGAGCGAACAGG
rnacentral:rRNA from 1 species